UACGGGGGGAGCAAGCGUUGUUCGGAUUUACUGGGCGUAAAGGGCGCGUAGGCGGCCAGCACAAGUCAGUUGUGAAAUCUCCGAGCUUAACUCGGAAAGGUCAACUGAUACUGUGCGGCUAGAGUGCGGAAGGGGCAACUGGAAUUCUUGGUGUAGCGGUGAAAUGCGUAGAUAUCAGGAGGAACACCGGUGGCGAAGGCGGAUCUCUGGGCCUUACCUGACGCUGAGGCGCGAAAGCUAGGGGGAGCGAACAGG
rnacentral:rRNA from 1 species